rnacentral:rRNA from 1 species
UGGGGAAUUUUGGACAAUGGGCGAAAGCCUGAUCCAGCAAUGCCGCGUGUGUGAAGAAGGCCUUCGGGUUGUAAAGCACUUUUGUCCGGAAAGAAAUCCUUGGCUCUAAUACAGUCGGGGGAUGACGGUACCGGAAGAAUAAGCACCGGCUAACUACGUGCCAGCAGCCGCGGUAAUACGUAGGGUGCAAGCGUUAAUCGGAAUUACUGGGCGUAAAGCGUGCGCAGGCGGUUUGCUAAGACCGAUGUGAAAUCCCCGGGCUCAACCUGGGAACUGCAUUGGUGACUGGCAGGCUAGAGUAUGGCAGAGGGGGGUAGAAUUCCACGUGUAGCAGUGAAAUGCGUAGAGAUGUGGAGGAAUACCGAUGGCGAAGGCCAGCCCCUGGGCAAUACUGACGCUCAUGCACGAAAAGCGUGGGGAGCAAACAGGAUUAGAUACCCUGGUAGUCCACGCCCUAAAACGAUGUCAACUAGUUGUUGGGGACUCAUUUCCUUAGUAACUAGCUAACGCGUGAAGUUGACCGCCUGGGGAGUACGGCCGCAAGGUUGAAAACUCAAAGGAAUUGACGGGGUCAUAGCUGUUUCCU